UACGUAGGGUCCGAGCGUUUGUCCGGAAUUACUGGGCGUAAAGAGCUCGUAGGUGGUUUGUCGCGUUGUUCGUGAAAACUCACAGCUCAACUGUGGGCGUGCGGGCGAUACGGGCAGACUAGAGUACUGCAGGGGAGACUGGAAUUCCUGGUGUAGCGGUGGAAUGCGCAGAUAUCAGGAGGAACACCGGUGGCGAAGGCGGGUCUCUGGGCAGUAACUGACGCUGAGGAGCGAAAGCGUGGGGGAGCGAACAGG
rnacentral:rRNA from 1 species